CCAGGGACACUACGGAAUUCCCGCUUUCUGUGCUGAAUUUGCCCUGCGAUAUAAGCCAAUGCUGAGUAUUGAUGAAAACAGUUCUUUUAAUUACGAGGUCCCGAAAGGUAUUGAUGAAGGUCGCCCUGUCUUCUCCCGAUUCUCCAAUGACGGCCACAUUUAAGCUGAUGUUCUCCAGGGAGGAAAAAGCAUCCUGUAGGCGUUUGGUCAGCUGGUCAAAACUCCCCGUCGUCAAGGCAGCCUUGAGGUCCUGGAUCUGUUUUUCGGUUAGAGCAAUUUUGUCAUUCUCCACUUUCUGUGCCAUGGGGGUCAACGCUGAACUUUGCUGGACAACCCAGCGAGGAAGAUCUGAAGAACCAAGCAAAGAACAUCGUGUUAGUAGACGUUGCGUGAUAAAACAGAGUCCUGUGUGUAGGUUUUCACCAUUCAGGGGUUGACAAAAUGUGAUCUUGCAGCUGGAAUCCCUCGUCCUUCAAUCCUGCCACAGAGCAAAGGUUGAUAAGCUGCCAUUGCUAAAACCUGGUCGUAAUUUUAAACAAUCAUGUGACGUUUUGGUAAUAUCACCUAAAAAUCUUGUAAGACUUUGAGUUUUCCUUUAAAAUUCAAUGACCUGUUGA